rnacentral:rRNA from 1 species
GACGAACGCUGGCGGCGUGCCUAACACAUGCAAGUCGAGCGCUGAAGGUUGGUACUUGUGCCAACUGGAUGAGCAGCGAACGGGUGAGUAACGCGUGGGGAAUAAGCAUUUGUGCGGGGGGCAACAAUUGGAAACGAAUGCUAAUACCGCAUAAAAACAUUAAACAGAAGAUGUACGUUUGAAUGAUGCACUUGCAUCACUCAAAGAUGAUCCCGCGUUGUAUUAGCUAGUGGGUGAGGUAAAGGCUCACCAAGGCGAUGAUACAUAGCCUACCUGAGAGGAUGAUCAGCCACAGUGGGAAGGAGACACGGCCCCACCCCCUACGGGAGGCAGCAGUAGGGAAUCUUCGGCAAUGGACGGAAGUCUGACUGAGGAAAUCCGCGAGAGUGAAGAAGGUUUUCGGAUCGUAAAACUCUGUUGGUAGAGAAGAACGUUGGUCAGAUUGGGAAGCUCAUCAAGUGACGGUAACUACCCAAUAAGCAACGGCUAACUACGUG